rnacentral:rRNA from 1 species
GUGCCAGCAUCCGCGGUAAUACCAGCUCCAGGAGUGUCUAUGAUGAUUGCUGCGAUUAAAAGGUCCGUAGUCGGGGGGCAGCACCUGUCUGCAAUGCGGGCGAUCAAGCGCCGAGCAGGACGGGCACAGCCCCGCACAGGAGCGAUCGAGGGCCAGACUAUUGUGCAGCGAGAGGUGAAAUUUGAUGACCUGCGCAGGAGUAGCAGCGGCGAAGGCGCUGGCCAGGAGCGUAUCCGAUGAUCAAGGACGUAGGCUGGAGGAUCGAAGACGAUUAGAGACCGUAGUAGUUCCAGCAGUAAACGAUGCCUACACUGCUGCAGACGCGUCUGCGGCAGACGAGAAAUCGAGUGGGGCUACGGGGAGAGUACGCGCGCAACCAAAUUUAAAGGAAAUUGACGGAAGAACACCACAAGGAGUGGAGUGUGCGGCUUAAUUUGACUCAACGCGGGACAACUUACCACGCCCGAUGGCCGUGUGAGCGCGUGCGCGAGUAGGCCAGCGAGUGGUGCAUGGCCGUUAUCGACUAGUGGGGUGACCUCUGGGUUAAGUCCGCAAAGUAGUGAGAUCCCGGGGCCCGCUCAUCAUAUCAGAUGGGCGGCGUCGACAGGCGCGAGAAGCGCGGGAAGGACGGGGCAAGAACAGGUCAGUGAUGCCCUUAGAUGGCGUGGGCUGCACGCGCACUACAGUGGUCGCAGCAGGAGCUUAUAGAGUGAAAUGCGAUCGAGAGGGAAUGCGCGCUGUAAGGUGCACAGGAACGAGGAAUUGCUAGUAGCCGCUGCCUCACCAAGGAGCGGCGAAUGUGUCCCUGUUCUUUGUACACACCGCCCGUCGUUAUCGAAGAUGGCGCCAGGCGCGAACAAACGCAAGCGCGUGAGUGCAGGGCGCUAGAUCUGAUACAAGUCGUAACAAGGCAGCUGUAGGAGAACCUGCAGCUGGAUCAAAU